rnacentral:rRNA from 1 species
GGACAACAUCUCGAAAGGGAUGCUAAUACCGCAUACGUCCUACGGGAGAAAAGCUAGGGGAUCUUCGGACCUUGCGCUAAUAGAUGAGCCUAAGUCGGAUUAGCUAGUUGGUGGGGUAAAGGCCUACCAAAGGCGACGAUCUGUAGCGGGUCUGAGAGGAUGAUCCGCCACACUGGGACUGAGACACGGCCCAAGACUUCCUACGGGAGGCAGCAGUGGGGAAUAUUGGACAAUGGGGGGAACCCUGAUCCCAGCCCAUGCCGCGUGUGUGAAGAAGGCCUUAUGGUUGUAAAGCACUUUAAGCGAGGAGGAGGCUACUUUAGUUAAUACCUAGAGAUAGUGGACGUUACUCGCAGAAUAAGCACCGGCUAACUCUGUGCCAGCAGCCGCGGUAAUACAGAGGGUGCGAGCGUUAAUCGGAUUUACUGGGCGUAAAGCGUGCGUAGGCGGCUUAUUAAGUCGGAUGUGAAAUCCCCGAGCUUAACUUGGGAAUUGCAUUCGAUACUGGUGAGCUAGAGUAUGGGAGAGGAUGGUAGAAUUCCAGGUGUAGCGGUGAAAUGCGUAGAGAUCUGGAGGAAUACCGAUGGCGAAGGCAGCCAUCUGGCCUAAUACUGACGCUGAGGUACGAAAGCAUGGGGAGCAAACAGGAUUAGAUACCCUGGUAGUCCAUGCCGUAAACGAUGUCUACUAGCCGUUGGGGCCUUUGAGGCUUUAGUGGCGCAGCUAACGCGAUAAGUAGACCGCCUGGGGAGUACGGUCGCAAGACUAAAACUCAAAUGAAUUUGACGGGGGCCCGCACAAGCGGUGGAGCAUGUGGUUUAAUUUCGAUGCAACGCGAAGAACCUUACCUGGCCUUGACAUACUA